rnacentral:lncRNA from 12 species
UUUUAACUGAAAUGAGAACUUUAUUUUUGUUGAAUGAUUCACUUUUCACAGUUGUUAUUACUUCUUCAGCCUACUCUGAGUUCACAAUAGUAACUGAAAUGUCCUCGGACAAACAGAUGGGAAAACGGCCUGUGAGUCUUUAUUGUUAUAAACGAUUUGUAAAACUUUAGAUGUUGAAAGGUAAGAGUAGUUUAAAUAAAUCUCAACAAUGCUGACUCAAAGGUUUAAAGCAUUGCUUAAAUCCCUUGAUUAACCCAGCUUCUCAAUAUUUGACAUGAAUCAAUAACUCUGAGAUGUCUUUUCUGUUAUCUAGCUUUGUAAAUAUUUACACAGCCAGUCCCAUGAAAUAUGACAUUUAAUCCUCUCGAAGUAAUUAUUUGAAUGCUGCAUAUGAAGAGAUAUAAAGUAUAAUAGUUCCAGUGAUGCUAGUUAAAUAAUUGGCACUAAGGAUGAAAUCUGCUGCAUUUCUUUUGUCAAGAGCCAGGGUUUAUACAAUGUUAAUGUGAAAAAAUGGAAAGCAAAAUCCGCUUUCUGUCCCAGAUCUUGGACCAGCUGCUGGGAAUGCAGGUUUCUUUAUCUUGUCUCAUGCCUGGGCCUGGGCCUUAGCAUUACCAGCAACCUUUUGUUCCAGUUAAAUGAAGUGUUGAGAGCCAGAAGAAAGGCAAUAGGGAAGGGAUGGCACCUCUAUUAGCUUGUCCUCUGCCUUUCCCUUCUGGGACAUACUAUAACAAAUGGUCUCUGCACUCCAGGAAGCAGGAACAUGCUCUACCCAGAGUUUCCAGGACCUGGGGAAGACUUCUGUAGGAAUCCUGGAGCAAUAGGACAAUACCAGCCCUCCAGACCAUGGCUGGAAUUCCUGGGACCGAGCAGAGUGAUUCAAGAAGGAGCAGAUGGAAACAGCUGCCAACAGAUGAGUGUUGGAAUGGAUUCAAGCCACACUACUUGCUGGAACUUGAGAGUCUGUGGUGGCCUGAGCUUUCCCAACCACACAUAUCUAAGGUUUGGAACUAGGCAGCUGUCAGUCAGUUCUUAUUUAUGAGGACCAGAAAAAAAAACCCCACGGUUGUCCUAUGGUGUGGGGAAUCUUUCGGGUUGUAGUUGCAGAUAGUACUAAAGAUAAAA